rnacentral:rRNA from 1 species
AUUGAACGCUGGCGGCAGGCCUAACACAUGCAAGUCGAGGGGUAGAAGCUUUCGGGCUUUGAGACCGGCGCACGGGUGCGUAACGCGUAUGCAAUCUACCUUGUACUGAGGGAUAGCCCAGAGAAAUUUGGAUUAACACCUCAUAGUAUUUUUGCCUGGCAUCAGGUGAUUAUUAAAGGUUACGGUACAAGAUGAGCAUGCGUCCCAUUAGCUAGUUGGUAUGGUAACGGCAUACCAAGGCUACGAUGGGUAGGGGUCCUGAGAGGGAGAUCCCCCACACUGGUACUGAGACACGGACCAGACUCCUACGGGAGGCAGCAGUGAGGAAUAUUGGUCAAUGGGCGCAAGCCUGAACCAGCCAUGCCGCGUGCAGGAUGAAGCAUCUAUGGUGUGUAAACUGCUUUUGUACGGGAAGACAAAAGGCUACGUGUAGCAGCUUGACGGUACCGUAAGAAUAAGGAUCGGCUAACUCCGUGCCAGCCGCCGCGGUAAGAC